rnacentral:rRNA from 1 species
GAUGAACGCUGGCGGCGUGCCGUAAUACAUGCAAGUCGAGCGAACGGACGAGAAGCUUGCUUCUCUGAUGUUAGCGGCGGACGGGUGAGUAACACGUGGAUAACCUACCUAUAACACUGGGAUAACUUCGGGAAACCGGAGCUAAUACCGGAUAAUAUUUUGAACCGCAUGGUUCAAAAGUAAAAGACGGUCUUGCUGUCACUUAUAGAUGGAUCCGCGCUGCAUUACCUAGUUGGAUAGGUAACGGCUUACCAAGGCAACGAUGCAUAGCCGACCUGAGAGGGUGAUCGGCCACACUGGAACUGACACACGGUCCAGACUCCUACGGGAGGACUGACUACGGAAUCUUCCGCCAUGGGCGCAACCCUGACGGAGCAACGCCGCGUGAGUGAUCAACGUCUUCGAAUCCUAAAACUCUGCUAUUAGGGAAGAACAUAUGUGUAAGUAACUGUGCACAUCUUGACGGUACCUAAUCAGAAAGCCACGGCUAACUACGUGCCAGCUGCCGCGGUAAUACGUAAGUGGCAAGCGAUAUCCGGAAUUAUUGGGCGUAAAGCGCGCGUAGCGGUUUUUUAGUCUGAUGUGAAAGCCCACGGCUCAACCGUGGAGGGUCAUUGGAAACUGGAAAACUUGAGUGCAGAAGAGGAAAGUGGAAUUCCAUGUGUAGCGGUGAAAUGCGCAGAGAUAUGGAGGAACACCAGUGGCGAAGGCGACUUUCUGGUCUGUAACUGACGCUGAUGUGCGAAAGCGUGGGGAUCAAACAGGAUUAGAUACCCUGGUAGUCCACGCCGUAAACGAUGAGUGCUAAGUGUUAGGGGGUUUCCGCCCCUUAGUGCUGCAGCUAACGCAUUAAGCACUCCGCCUGGGGAGUACGACCGCAAGGUUGAAACUCAAAGGAAUUGACGGGGACCCGCACAAGCGGUGGAGCAUGUGGUUUAAUUCGAAGCAACGCGAAGAACCUUACCAAAUCUUGACAUCCUUUGACAACUCUAGAGAUAGAGCCUUCCCCUUCGGGGGACAAAGUGACAGGUGGUGCAUGGUUGUCGUCAGCUCGUGUCGUGAGAUGUUGGGUUAAGUCCCGCAACGAGCGCAACCCUUAAGCUUAGUUGCCAUCAUUAAGUUGGGCACUCUAAGUUGACUGCCGGUGACAAACCGGAGGAAGGUGGGGAUGACGUCAAAUCAUCAUGCCCCUUAUGAUUUGGGCUACACACGUGCUACAAUGGACAAUACAAAGGGCAGCGAAACCGCGAGGUCAAGCAAAUCCCAUAAAGUUGUUCUCAGUUCGGAUUGUAGUCUGCAACUCGACUACAUGAAGCUGGAAUCGCUAGUAAUCGUAGAUCAGCAUGCUACGGUGAAUACGUUCCCGGGUCU